ensembl:snoRNA
CCCCUCUAAACAAUGAUGCAAUGAUUUCCAAGCACAUAUCUGACAGUUCCAUGUGGAAUUGAACUACUAACUUUCCUGGAA